GGGGGUGUAGCUGAGUGGUAGAGCAGGUUCUUAGCAUGCAUGAGGCCCUGGGUUCAACCCCAGCAACCCCC
rnacentral:tRNA from 1 species